rnacentral:pre_miRNA from 1 species
AUACUACUCCCUCCGUCCAAAAAUUCUUGUCUUAGAUUUGUUUAGACAAGAAUGUAUCUAGUCAACUUUUAGUAUUUAGAUACAUCCAUUUUUAAACAAACCUAAGACAAGAAUUUUGGGACGGAGGGAGUAUUAG